UACAGAGGUCCCAAGCGUUGUUCGGAUUCACUGGGCGUAAAGGGUGCGUAGGCGGCCGGGUAAGUCUGAUGUGAAAUCUCACAGCUUAACUGUGAAACUGCAUUGGAUACUAUCCGGCUCGAGGAAUGGAGGGGAGACUGGAAUACUUGGUGUAGCAGUGAAAUGCGUAGAUAUCAAGUGGAACACCAGUGGCGAAGGCGACUUACUGGACACAUAUUGACGCUGAGGUGCGAAAGCGUGGGGAGCAAACAGG
rnacentral:rRNA from 1 species